UAGUCCACGCCGUAAACGAUGGUUACUAGCUGUUUGUCUUUCGAGAUGAGUGGCUAAGCGAAAGUGAUAAGUAACCCACCUGGGGAGUACGAUCGCAAGAUUGAAACUCAAAGGAAUUGACGGGGGCCCGCACAAGCGGUGGAGCAUGUGGUUUAAUUCGAUGAUACGCGAGGAACCUUACCAGGGCUUAAAUGUAGUAUGACAGGGGCAGAGACGCCUUUUUCUCGGACAUAUUACAAGGUGCUGCAUGGUUGUCGUCAGCUCGUGCCGUGAGGUGUCAGGUUAAGUCCUAUAACGAGCGCAACCCCUGUUGUUAGUUACCAGCACGUAGUGGUGGGGACUCUAACAAGACUGCCGGUGCAAACCGUGAGGAAGGUGGGGAUGACGUCAAAUCAUCACGGCCCUUACGUCCUGGGGCUACACACGUGCUACAAUGGGUAGGUACAGAGAGCAGCCACUACGCAAGUAGGGAGCGAAUCUAUAAAACCUAUCUCAGUUCGGGAUCGGGAGUCU
rnacentral:rRNA from 1 species